rnacentral:rRNA from 1 species
UGCCAGCAGCCGCGGUAAUACGUAGGGAGCGAGCGUUAUCCGGAAUUAUUGGGCGUAAAGCGUGCGUAGGCGGUUCGUUAAGUCAAAUCUGAAAGCCCACAGCUUAACUGUGGAGGGUGAUCUGAAACUGGCGAGCUUGAGUACGGCAGAGGUUAGUGGAAUUCAAUGUGUAGCGGUGGAAUGCGUAGAUAUAUUGAGGAACACCAGUGGCGAAGGCGGCUAACUGGACCAGAACUGACGCUGAUGCACGAAAGCGUGGGUAGCAAACAGGAUUAGAUA